rnacentral:tRNA from 1 species
AGGGGUGGUCCAACCAGCAAGAACUGCUAACUCCUGCAUCCGAGCUUUAAACCUCGGCCCCCUU